GACGAACGCUGGCGGCGUGCUUAACACAUGCAAGUCGAACGGAAAGGCCCUGCUUUUGUGGGGUGCUCGAGUGGCGAUCGGGUGAGUAACACGUGAGUAACCUGCCCUUGACUUUGGGAUAACUUCAGGAAACUGGGGCUAAUACCGGAUAGGAGCUCCUGCUGCAUGGUGGGGGUUGGAAAGUUUCGGCGGUUGGGGAUGGACUCGCGGCUUAUCGGCUUGUUGGUGGGGUAGUGGCUUACCAAGGCUUUGACGGGCAGCCGGCCUGAGAGGGUGACCGGCCACAUUGGGACUGAGAUACGGCCCAGACUCCUACGGGAGGCAGCAGUGGGGAAUAUUGCACAAUGGGCGGAAGCCUGAUGCAGCAACGCCGCGUGCGGGAUGACGGCCUUCGGGUUGUAAACCGCUUUCGCCUGUGACGAAGCGUGAGUGACGGUAAUGGGUAAAGAAGCACCGGCUAACUACGUG
rnacentral:rRNA from 1 species